GCAUAUAAUUGAUAGUUGGAAUUGUAAAGUACACUCAAUUCCAAUUCAUGUUUGGAUGUAGAAACAACGGAAUUGUAAAUUAAGAAACUGUACAAUGAUUAUAUACUACUUUAAAAACAGAAAAACAUGAAAAAUAUUCUAAUAACAAUAUCCAUUACAGUGGCAACAUUACAAAAAAAGUGAAAACAAAUUCCCCAUCCAGAAAUUUCUCCAUACAGCAGCACAACUUCUCUGUACAGCAGAACAAAAAUCAAAGAGGAAAGGAGACGAGUGAGGGGAAAUUUCAUGGCUGGGCUCAUGGCUUCCGUCGGUUGAAAGACAAAAGGAAGGAGGCGUGGCCACGUGGCACCGGGCUAGGCCAAAGCGGCACGGCGAAUCUUGCCGGAUCCAGGGAAGAACGGCGCGCUGCCAAUGAGGUAGCAGC
rnacentral:lncRNA from 1 species